GUUGUUAUUCUCAGGCUUUUAUUAACCAGUUUCUUUCAUCCUAGUGUGUCUUUAUUACUUAGAAAAAUAAAAAUGAUCUGGGGCUCUAUCCAUUCUCACCUAAAAUUCUGCAGUAGGUAACGACUGUCUACAACCUGGUCCAACAUAUGCCCCCAAACUAAAACAAACAAACUCAUUUGCCAUACAAAUUGUUUACGAUUCAUUAAAAAGCAAAAUUGCAUAUCCCGGAGCUGGCAGCUGAGGCCGAGCCUCCACGGGCGGAGGGGGUAUUCACUGAGUUGCCUUUGUAUGCUGGGACGACCACGCUGGAGGUUCCCACUAUGAACCGGAGUCUGUGCAGCCAGAUGACACAUGAGUUUUGUUUCCAGGACCCAUGAAAAUGUGAAACUCUAGAAGAGCAACUUGAUUUUGAAUGCAGCAUACAGUUAACAGCUGACGUUCAUUGAUUGAGUGCUUCCUCUUGGGCAGGCACCGUUCCAAGAGCUUUAUGUAAUUUUUUCCAGGUUAAGAAAAUGAGGCCCAGCGGAAGCAAUUACUUGGAGUCAUCGAGCAAGUUCAUGUCAGGUACAGGGCUCCGAUCCAGAGGUGGUAGUUGUCAGUGACUCUGUUGGACUCUGCACUGGUGGUUUCAUAGUGUUUGAAGAACUGUGUUCUGAACUGCAUUCAGAUGCACAUGAGCUCCUGCCAAUGCUGCUGCUUCUACUGGUCUUAUAUGCCUGGCAGUGUCAUCAAUGUCCUUACUCGUGUUUAUGGACAUUACUGGAGGUUAUCUGCAGAGCUCCUUUAUUGAGUAGAUAGAAAAGCAGUGUCCCACAUAGAUUUCCUGAAAGCAAAGUUUGGGACUUGUGUGAGGCUUAUGGAGGCAUGCAAGUUUAUUGGGGUGGCUGGAUCCACAUCUAUAGGGAAAUGCAGGAAGGCCUAGGCAGGGGAGGAGUUAAUCAGUUCAGUCCUAACCCAGGCCCAGUGAAUCCACAGGGAACUGGAAGCUGAGUGCCCUUGCAGAAUUAUCCUGAAUUGGGGGAAGGAUGCCAGGACAUGGUAUUCUGCAGUGACUAAGCAGCCACUGAAUAAGAGCUGUCUCAGGGAAAAGUAAAAGACCACACUAGGCAACAAACAGAGACCAAACCCAGAGGAGUCCCAGUAGCUGGGAGAGCAUUUGGAUGCCCAGGACCCACUCACAUCCAGAGGAGUCAACAAGUUCCUUAACCCUGGGAUACAUAGUCCACGGCUCUACACGUUUCUGAAUGGCAGAGACCAGGUUCCACUCUCCAUUUUGACAAAAUCUAUCUGAUGUUUUCAUCUCUACCAUAGAGCACUUGGUCAAGGAAAAACACACACACACAAAAGAAACCCCCAACUCUGAAGCAUUCAUGGCUUGUGAAGAUGGAAGAGGAUAUUUCAUAUAAAGCUCCUGGGAAUAGUUCUUGAUCGCUGCUGUGAUCAUCUGAGGAUAUCAGACUCUUGCUUCUUCACUCUUCCAAAGUGGACUCUGCCAGAGAUUCCCCAGAAGUCUCUGGUCUCGGACUAGAGUUGCACCAUUGAUCCCUCUUGUUCUGGGGCUUCAGCCUCUUGGACUGUGCAGCUACUGGUUCCUCCAGCUCUCCAGUCUGCAGACUGCCAUUGUGGGCUAUCCAGCUUCUGGUCACAUGGAGGAUGAAGAGAGAUAUUGAGACGGAAGUUGAAGAGUUCUGUCCUUUAAGCCUGUUUUAGUCAGAUUUUUCACUGCUGUGACCCAAAGACCUAACAAGAAC